GGGGAUAGCCCGGCGAAAGCCGGAUUAAUACCGCAUACGAUCUACGGAUGAAAGCGGGGGACCUUCGGGCCUCGCGCUAUAGGGUUGGCCGAUGGCUGAUUAGCUAGUUGGUGGGGUAAAGGCCUACCAAGGCGACGAUCAGUAGCUGGUCUGAGAGGACGACCAGCCACACUGGGACUGAGACACGGCCCAG
rnacentral:rRNA from 1 species